rnacentral:rRNA from 1 species
UAAGACGAACCGUCCAAACGUUAUUCGGAAUCACUGGGCUUACAGAGUUCGUAGGCGGUCUGGAAAGUUGGGUGUGAAAUCCCUCGGCUCAACCGAGGAACUGCGCUUGAAACUACCAGACUCGAGGGAGAUAGAGGAAAGCGGAACUGAUGGUGGAGCGGUGAAAUGCGUUGAUAUCAUCAGGAACACCGGUGGCGAAGGCGGCUUUCUGGGUCUUACCUGACGCUGAGGAACGAAAGCCAGGGGAGCGAACGGGAUUAGAUACCCCGGUAGUCCUGGCCGUAAACGAUGAGCACUAGGUCGUGGGCCUCCACAGGCCCUCGGCCGUAGCGAAAGUGUUAAGUGCUCCGCCUGGGGAGUAUGGUCGCAAGGCUG